CUGCUAAGGAGUUUCCAUUUGG
rnacentral:tRNA from 1 species